UGUAGAUGAUGAGUCUUAUAUUUUCUGUUUACAAAACCUUGAAUUUUUCGAAAAACUAAGGAUUUCUUACCCCAGGAGUAGAUUACCUUAGCCGUAUUUGGCACAACUUUUUGGAAUUUUGGAUCCUCAAUGCUCUUCAACUUUGUAUUGAUUUGGCUUUUUAACUAUUUGAUCUGAGCGUCACUGAUGAGUCUUAUGUAGACAAAACGCGCGUCUGGCGUAUAAAAUUAUAAUCCUGGUACUUUUGAUAACUAUUUCCUCUCCGGGAAAACAACAAACAUAUAUAUUGAUUUAUUGAUUAGUGUUUAACGGCACUUUUAGCACUGACGUGAUAUUUCGUGGCAGUCAGUCAUUAUUGGUGGAUGUAGCCGGUAUGCACCCAGACAACCACAGACCUUCAGCAGAAACCGC
rnacentral:lncRNA from 1 species